rnacentral:rRNA from 1 species
GAGUUUGAUCCUGGCUCAGGAUGAACGCUGGCGGCGUGCUUAACACAUGCAAGUCGAGCGAAGCGCUUUACUUAGAUUUCUUCGGAUUGAAGAGUUUUGCGACUAAGCGGCGGACGGGUGAGUAACGCGUGGGUAACCUGCCUCAUACAGGGGGAUAACAGUUAGAAAUGACUGCUAAUACCGCAUAAGACCACGGUACCGCAUGGUACAGUGGGAAAAACUCCGGUGGUAUGAGAUGGACCCGCGUCUGAUUAGCUAGUUGGUAAGGUAACGGCUUACCAAGGCGACGAUCAGUAGCCGACCUGAGAGGGUGACCGGCCACAUUGGGACUGAGACACGGCCCAAACUCCUACGGGAGGCAGCAGUGGGGAAUAUUGCACAAUGGGGGAAACCCUGAUGCAGCGACGCCGCGUGAAGGAUGAAGUAUUUCGGUAUGUAAACUUCUAUCAGCAGGGAAGAAAAUGACGGUACCUGACUAAGAAGCCCCGGCUAACUA